CCCCCACUCCCUGGUGGCCGCCCUCUACCCCGCUUCUGAGUUGGGGUUAUUGUGCCAGGAUGUGUAGACAAUGAAGAAGAUAAUGCCAGUGAGACAGUCCCAUCUGGCCCAUAUUUCCGGGGCCUUCCCCUUUUCCUUUUCACAGGCUCACCAGAUGGUGGCAUCGCAGAUGGUGCACCCACAUUAACACCGUGCUGUGGAAUUGUUGUUGAAGUUUCUAUUGGCAAUGUAGAUCCAAUUGUAUUGGCUCCAACAUUAGAUUGAAAU
rnacentral:misc_RNA from 1 species